CUUCAACAUGAUAGGUCAGAAGGUGCCACUGUGUAAAGCUGUGAUAAGGGAAAAAAGAAAACCUUGAAGAAAGUCAGUUUUGACUUGUUUCUUCUGGUGUGAAAUGUGAGCAAUAAUUACUUCCUGCACUGCAAAGCUAUUGAGAAGUUUCAAGGCAUACAGUUCUGGGUGACGAGAAGCAAAACUGAAUGAGUAGAAGAAAUGUGAUCAGAAAAACAAUAAGAGCACGCCUUGAUCUGUUUGAAGGAAAAGGAAGAGAGAUCAGAGAGGAGUAUGACUUGAUGAGUCAGGUGAAGUUAGGACCUAUCAAGAUGGUGUACUGAAAGGCGUAUUUAGGAGCUGUAAGAAGCUGGACUUAAUCUUACAGGAAACUGAAAAUACCAAAAGAAGCCUUGUCCAGUCAUUAUGACAUG
rnacentral:lncRNA from 1 species